GACGAACUGUGCGAACGUUAUUCGGAAUCACUGGGCUUAAAGAGCGCGUAGGCGGCAUUGUAAGUUGGAGGUGAAAUCCCACGGCUCAACCGUGGAAUAGCCCCCAAUACUGCAGUGCUUGAGGAAGGUAGGGGUUUGUGGAACUUCCGGUGGAGCGGUGAAAUGUGUUGAGAUCGGAAGGAACGCCGGCGGCGAAAGCGACAAACUGGAUCUUCUCUGACGCUGAGGCGCGAAAGCUAGGGGAGCGAACGGG
rnacentral:misc_RNA from 1 species